rnacentral:lncRNA from 1 species
AUGACCUUUUGUCUUAAAAAUUCUAAACAUUCACUCCUAUCUUUAUUCUCCUUUGUUUUCUUCAUUUGCAGUGAAGAAAGAUACAGAGAGUAUUUUGGAAGAAGAAACAAAGAUGGGAUUUUUUUGAAUCCAGUAUGGUUCUUUCCUGGCAGCCUUGACAUGAAAAUCAGUCCUGAAUCUACAAAUGCCGCAACAACUAAAAGUGCCACUACGCAAGAGAAAUAAAAUGCACACAAACAAACCAAUCCAGCAUGAUUUUUGUUUAGCGCUGCGGGCUAAACCGCAGAAGCUUGUGCUGCAGGGUCAGAAGACCAAGCAGUCGUAAGAUCGAAUCCACACAAUGGAGUGAGCUCCUGUUGCUUGUCCCAGCUCCCACCAACCUAGCGGUUCGAAAGCAUGCAAAUGCAAGUAGAUAAAUAGGGACCACUUCGGUGGGAAGGUAACAGCGAUCCGUGUCUAAGUCUCACUGGCUAUGUGACCACGGAAGAUUGUCUUCGGACAAACGCUGGCUCUAUGGCUUGAAGAGCGGGAUGAGCUCCGCCCCCUAGAGUCGAACACGACUGGACAAAAAAUGUCAAGGGGAACCUUUACCUUUACCCUAGCAAAAAAUAUGAAGAAAUCAGCAUUUUACAGCACGUGGGAGAACAUUAUCCCCUGAUAAUUCUGAAGACCAAUCUAACCUACUGUUAAAAGUAAUUUUUCCAAAAAAUGAAAAUCUCUGGCAUACUUAAUUUUUUUUGUCAAGUCGCCUUUGCCUUAUGAUGACCCUAUGAGUGAGCACCCUCAACAGCCCUGCUCAGCACUUGUGAGCUGAAACCUGUUGGCAUACUUAAUUUUUUUUGUCAAGUCGCCUUUGCCUUAUGAUGACCCUAUGAGUGAGCACUCGCGAAAAUGCCUUGUCCUCAACAGCCCUGCUCAGCACUUGUGAGCUGAAACCUGUUGUUCUUUUAGGGAGUCAGUCCAUCACGUAUUUAGUCUUCCUCUUUUCCUGCUGAAUUCCAUUUUCCCCAGCAUUAUUAUCUCUUCCAGAGAAUCUUGCCUUCUCGUGAUAUGCCCAUAGUAGCACAGCCUCAGUUUCAGCAUUUUUGCCUCCAGAGAUAGUUCAGGCUUGAUUUUAUCUAGGACCCACUUGUUCAUCAUUCUGGGCAGUCCAAGUUAUCUGCAGAACUCUCCCCUGGGACUUCAUUUCAAACAAAUCAUUUUUGUUUCCUGUCAGCUUUCUUUC